rnacentral:rRNA from 1 species
GACGAACGCUGGCGGCGUGCUUAACACAUGCAAGUCGAACGAAGUGGCGAACGGGUGAGUAACGCGUAAUAAACCUGCCCUUCAGAGGGGAACAACAGUUGGAAACGACUGAUAAUACCGCAUACUGAAGGAGGGGAUGGCGUCUGAUUAGCUAGUUGGAGGGGUAACGGCCAACAAAGGCGAGGAUCAGUAGCCGGUCUGAGAGGAUGAACGGCCACAUAGGGACUGAGACACGGCCCAGACUUCUACGGGAGGCAGCAGUGGGGAAUCUUCCGAAAUGGAGGAAAGUCUGACGGAGCAACGCCGCGGGAGUGAUGACGGCCUUCGGGUUGUAAAGCUCUGUUAAUCGGGACGCGGUACCGGAAUAGAAAGCCACGGCUAACUACGUGCCAGCAGCCGCGGUAAUUC